rnacentral:ncRNA from 2 species
CUUUUGGGGUGAUCCUUUAUUCGCGUAAAGGCAGGGUUAACUUUCAUGACCCGAACCCGUCAGCUAACCUCGUAAGCGUUGUGAAGGAGAUAU